rnacentral:rRNA from 2 species
UCCUGGGGCUGAAGUAGGUCCCAAGGGUAUGGCUGUUCGCCAUUUAAAGUGGUACGCGAGCUGGGUUUAGAACGUCGUGAGACAGUUCGGUCCCUAUCUGCCGUGGGCGCUGGAGAACUGAGGGGGGGCUGCUCCUAGUACGAGAGGACCGGAGUGGACGCAUCACUGGUGUUCGGGUUGUCAUGCCAAUGGCACUGCCCGGUAGCUAAAUGCGGAAGAGAUAAGUGCUGAAAGCAUCUAAGCACGAAA